rnacentral:lncRNA from 1 species
GUAGAGAGAGAGAGAGAGGUAGAGAGAGAGAGAGAGGUAGAGGUAGAGAGAGAGAGAGAGAGAGAGAGAGAGAGAGAGAGAGAGAGAGAGAGAGAGAGAGAGAGAGAGAGAGAGGUAAAGAGAGAGAGGUAGAGAGAGAGAGGUAGAGAGAGGUAGAGCUAGAGGUAGAGAGAGGUAGGGAGAGAGAGAGAGGUAGAGGUAGAGAGACCAUUCUGAACCUCUGAUGCUUAUGGAGGGUGAAUAAUACUCUCCCCUCUUUCUCUCCCUCCCUUUCUCCUCCUCCUUCUAUCUUGUUCUUGUCCUCUAUCUCUCUCUCUCUCUCCAACGAUCUCACACAAUUCUGACGUUUUUUCCCGUUUCUCCAAACAUAAGAUUUAGAAGUUGCUCCAAACAUAAGAUUUAGAAGUUGCUCCAAACAUACAUUUCUAAGUAUUUUUGACACCCUGGGAUGACUCCUGCUCAACAUCGUUCUGUUUCUUCAAAUUUUACAUUUCGAAGUUGUCAAAAUUCAAAGUUAAGGGUUAAAGUGAACUUGGUAUUCGUCAUGUCCAACACCACCACGUUUCCAUGGUUCUGUAGUCAAAUAGAUAUAGAGGAAGAUAAGCAUUUCUAAUGACAUCAUCAGUUUGCAUCAUUUGAUUUUAACCAAUUAUGAGUAGGCAUUGCACAUACAGUAUGUUGAUGUUGGGGUGGUGCUGGAGAUAAUGAAUAUGACAUUUAAAAUUGUGGAAUAUCCCUUUAAGGUUAGGGUUAAAAUAUGAAGUUUAGACAUUCAUUCCGAAUGGUUAAGGUUUGGGUUAAGGUAAGGGUUAAGGUAAGGGUUAAGGUAAGGGUUAAGGUAAGGGUUAAGGUAAGGGUUAAGGUAAGGGUUAAGGUAAUGGUUAAGGUUUGGGUUAAGAUAAGGGUUAAGGUAAUGGUUAAGGUAAGGGUUAAGGUAAGGGUUAAGGUAAUGGUUAAGGUAAGGGUUAAGGUAAGGGUUAAGGUAAGGGUUAAG